AGAGCGAACGCUGGCGGCAGGCCUAAUACAUGCAAGUCGAACGGACCCUUCGGGGUUAGUGGCGGACGGGUGAGUAACACGUGGGAACGUGCCCUUUGGUUCGGAACAACUCAGGGAAACUUGAGCUAAUACCGAAUGUGCCCCCAUCCUUAAACAAGAUGGGUGGGAAAGAUUUAUCGCCAUUGGAGCGGCCCGCGUCUGAUUAGCUAGUUGGUGAGGUAAAGGCUCACCAAGGCGACGAUCAGUAGCUGGUCUGAGAGGAUGAUCAGCCACACUGGGACUGAGACACGGCCCAGACUCCUACGGGAGGCAGCAGUAGGGAAUCUUGCGCAAUGGGCGAAAGCCUGACGCAGCCAUGCCGCGUGAAUGAUGAAGGUCUUAGGAUUGUAAAAUUCUUUCAGCGGGGACGAUAAUGACGGUACCCGCAGAAGAACGCCCGGCUAACGUUCGUGCCAGCAGCCGC
rnacentral:rRNA from 1 species